CGAUGAGAAAUGAUCCUGAUUAAAUCUUAUUAAAUGAUAAGUCACUAAAUAAAAACAAUCACACUGUAGUAGCUACUCGUAUGUAGUUUUUACAUUUUGUAUAGCACUGUUCUCUGUUCUAAAAUCGAAAAGAGCUUCUGCAAAGUAAUGCAAUUCUUUAUGUUUAUGACGUCGUGUUUAUUCACUUCAAUUAUAAGCUUGAGUAUAUCAAUAACUUUACCGCGUCGCCUCAGCCAGGAAAUCGACUACGACUUCUCGUAUAAUCCAAAUGACACGCUUCAACAGCUAGAGAGCUUGGAUAGUGAUCCAUUACAGCAAAUUGAAACUGCCUUAAACCAGACGAUAGGAGAUAUCCGGAAUAUUUUGACUAAUGGAGAUAAACAACGACAAAUUUCCACAAUUAAAAAAUUGAACUUCGUGCUGACAGAUAUGUUUUUUGAUACAAUUUCAGAAAUCCAAGAUCUCAAAGAAUUUGUGAACAAAGUACUCAUUCCGAACUAUGAAAAUCCCAUGCCAGUUUUUCUGUGCAUGGAUGUUAGUACUCGAUGUCUUGGAUGACGUUUCACAUCGUCAACAAUUAAAGUUUUACCAUAACCGACGGAAAAGUAUCUUUCAACUCGUAGAUAAAGUUACAAAUAAAAACUCAGAACGAAAGCAAAGAAGAUUGUCCAAAGAUGAAUUCAUAGCAGUAUUACAAAUGCUGGGACCUAAACUCGAGCAACCCCUAAUUGAGAAAAUAGCCAAGCAUUCAGUACCAGACUACAAAUACCGAGGCAAAAAAGUCUUCUAUUACGAGGAGGUGCUACUUGGAUUCACAGCAUGGAUAAGGUAUUUCAAUAAUUCUGCAACGAUUUUCAAAUACAACUUAAUAGAGGAAUUCAAACAGCAUCACAAUGAUUGGAUCGCCGCCACUCAAAAGUUCGCAUUAAUUAUGUCAAGGGAUCAUUUUCUUGCCAACAACAUAAGAUAUUGGUUUUGGAUCAACUGUACAGAAAUGAUCGUACGUGGGUGUAAGAUGGAUUUUGAAGAUAUACUGGACUCUGUUUUCACAGGUGGUUGGUAUUACGAGCAGCAAAAUAUCGACCAGUUCGAAUUACUCGUCCGGGUUUUAAAAAAGACCACGUUUGAAAACUUUUACCCACAACAAAAUUUCACACUGGAGUACGAAUCUUUCUUAAAACGACCAGAAGUAGGAAUGCCGCAGUCAUCGGCAUGCUAUGGCGAUACCCAGAGAAAUAUCACCUACUUCCUCAAAAAAUGGGGUACAACUUUUCUACCAUCGAAGUAAUCUCAUUAGGUAUCAACAAUACUAUUGUCAUGGCAGGAUAACUAAACAUAUUUCUAGUCCACAAUGCCAGUUAAUAUAAUUUUUUUUUUUUUAAAGAAAAUAUUUAUAAAAAAAUUAUAAUUGAUUUUAAUUAAAAUGAAAUUAAAAAUUGAUAAAUGAAAUUUUAAUUUUAAAAACAAAAGACAAAUGAAAAUAUGUACAUAUUUUUUUGCUAAUUUUAUUUUACUUGUACCUUAUAUUAUUUCAAAGUGAACAUGGAUUUUAAUUGUACAUAAUUUUACUUGUUGAGUUGAAAUUUUUUUUUCAAUAUACUAAGUAGAUUCUUUU